AUUGCUAGGGCCGGACACUUUAAUGGAGGGUCCUUGUGCACAUGCUGGUGUUGGUUGUCUGAAUCAGUCUGACACAAACACUGGAGCUGGUAGCAGGACUGUUUCACCGAGGGCUUCAAAAUGACUGGUCAGGCUCCAGCCCUGCAAAUACUUAGGCAAGACCUUCGCACACAUCAAACAGCCCCUCUGCACUGCUGCUCUGUGUGGAUGAAAGCAUGUCCUGAAGUCCUUAAAGAAGUGAGGCCAGAGGUCCUGGAGGGCAGAUGCUCCCAACUUUCCCUUUAAUUUCAUUCAAACAUUAGGCACUCCUAUGGCAUGAAGAAAAUACUAACAAUCUGUAUUCAGCAUUGUUUAUUUUCCUGCAUUGUUUUUUUUUUUUUUUUUUUUUCUAGAUGUUUUA